rnacentral:rRNA from 1 species
UGGGGAAUAUUGGACAAUGGGCGCAAGCCUGAUCCAGCCAUGCCGCGUGAGUGAUGAAGGCCCUAGGGUUGUAAAGCUCUUUCACCGGUGAAGAUAAUGACGGUAACCGGAGAAGAAGCCCCGGCUAACUUCGUGCCAGCAGCCGCGGUAAUACGAAGGGGGCUAGCGUUGUUCGGAUUUACUGGGCGUAAAGCGCACGUAGGCGGACUAUUAAGUCAGGGGUGAAAUCCCGGGGCUCAACCCCGGAACUGCCUUUGAUACUGGUAGUCUUGAGUUCGAGAGAGGUGAGUGGAAUUCCGAGUGUAGAGGUGAAAUUCGUAGAUAUUCGGAGGAACACCAGUGGCGAAGGCGGCUCACUGGCUCGAUACUGACGCUGAGGUGCGAAAGCGUGGGGAGCAAACAGU